rnacentral:lncRNA from 1 species
GACUACAUUAUAAUAUAUUUGUCGGAGUUAGUAAAAACUCAAUAGAUACACAAAAAGAUGAAAUAUCAAAAUUAGAAUCACAAAUAGAUAGUUUAGAAUAUAUAUAUCAACAUGAACUAUUCACAAUAAAAUGAACAAAGAAGAAUUUAUAAUAGAUGAAAAAAUAUAUGAAAACUACGAAGGAUAAAAAAUAAAGAUAGUAUUUUCUAAUCUAGGACGAAGAUAUAAGAAAAUAGGUGAACAUUUAUAUCUAAUGUUAGAAAAAGAAGAAUUAAAAUUAGAAGAUAAAUUAACAGCAAUGGUA